CUCAUUAAAUCAGUUAUAGUUUAUUUGAUGGUCUCUUUUUGUCUUUUUUUUACCUACUUGGAUAACCGUGGUAAUUCUAGAGCUAAUACAUGCGUAAGGUCCCAAGCGCGGGGCGGGCGGGGCGUCAAAACCUCGUCCGUUCGCAUGCGCGGCGGGAUGUAUUUAUUAGGUUAAAAACCAGCGGCAGGGGUCAGCAAUGGCCCCUGCCAAACACUCCUGGUGAUUCAUAGUAACUCUUUCGGAUCGCAUUCAUG
rnacentral:rRNA from 1 species